UAUGAACUCAGGCAGCUCCAAGAUGAAGCGGCAAGACCGAGAGCGAGAGCAGAAGAAGAAAUUGAGGUGGUGCUGUAAAAAAAACCCAGACUGCAUGUUUACAUGCACGAUCACUGAGAUAGGAUCCUUAUUUUUUGCUUGCUUCACACAGAACAAACUUCACCACGGAUUUGAAAGCCAAACAAAAAAGAACUGUCAACGUUUCCAUCGCAGAGGUCCAGCCUGCAGUGAUCACUAACGGAGCGUUUUCAUGAUGGAUAUGGACAAUGGAGCCUAUGCGUGUAAGUAGUUGCUUUCCAGUGUUGGGAACUUUUUAGAGGGUCCGUUCUGGGUUUUUUUCUGUUUCAAACAUGUGUCCUUGAAUAGCAGUGGUAGUUUUGUGAUGGACAAAUAAGACGGUGUUGGGCGCUUUGACCAACUCGAGAAGUUCUGCACGGCUUCCUUUCCAUGGGAGGCUCGUAAGAACCCCCAACACGCACUGAUUGAGAGAAAGAAAAAGAGAAAAGCAGCACGUUCCUGUGUUUUUUUUUUUUUUUCUUGUGUGCCAUCUUUCCUCUCCGUCGCGAUGAGUCUGGUUGGAGGUUUUCCUCAUCAUCCUGUCAUGCACCAUGACGGCUAUUCCUUCGCUCCGGCCACCCGCUGUCAUGAAGAGAGCCCUUAUUUCCACGGCUGGCUCAUCGGCCACCCGGAGAUGUCCCCACCGGACUACGCCGUGGCUCCUUCCUACAGCCCCGAGUACGCAGCCGGGCCGCCGGGGCUCGAGCACUACGGCGGCGGGGUUCCAGGGUCGGCGCCACGGGCGGGCAAACCGCGUAGGCCCACAGCCAACCGCAAGGAGAGGCGCAGGACUCAAAGCAUCAACAGCGCCUUCGCCGAGCUCAGGGAGUGCAUCCCCAACGUGCCCGCAGACACCAAGUUGUCCAAGAUCAAGACGCUGCGCCUGGCCACCAGCUACAUCGCCUACCUCACCGACAUCCUGGACAGGGACGAACAGCACGGCGAAGCCGAGGCCUUCAAGGCGGAGUUCAAGAAGGCAGAGGCCAAAGAGGAGAGGAGGAAGAAAGAAAUGAAUGAAGUUUUGAAAAGUUCAGGGAGCAGCAACGAAAAGAAGCCUAAAGGAAGAACUGGUUGGCCUCAACACGUCUGGGCUUUGGAACUGAAACAAUGAGAAAACGAACACAAAAAAAGAACACACAAAAAACCCUUUACGAAAAGACCUUGAAAUGCAGGCCUUCCUGUCCCUCUGAUUUUUUACACUAUAACUUUAUUUAAUGGAAUAUUUAUGUGCAAUUUCGCGCUCCGGACAGUGGAUCCCUGAAGAGAAAAAGCCCAUUGCAGAGCUUUAAGAGGAGGAUGCCCUCUUGUCUGCAGAGAAGUUUUGCAGACAUGCUGACGUCACAUCAGACGGUAGGGAGCCAUCCUGCGCAUAAAUUGGACGUCAUCAUGCUGCAUGCCUACACCAUAGAAGUGAAUGGAAGGGCUUUAGAAGGCCUGGAUCAAUGUGAUGAGGAAAUAUGUGUCUGAAAAACUCUGUAUAAUCACAAUGAAUGUGAGGGUUCCACAAUGAAGUAUGGUAUGAAGUAUAUAAUGCAGUGUUUCUCAGCCCUAAAUAUAUUAGUGCUCUCGUGUUGUAGCUGAACUCAUGAAUUCAGUAAUGAGUCCUUCACAUGCUGAAGUGGGUGGAAGAAAGAACACCGCAACUGAAGUGCGAAGUGUACAUGAGCAGAGCAGGGCUGGGAAACAGUGGUGUGCUAUGGCACUAUGGCAGGC